UUCCACUUUGGUAAUAAGAGAUUUAAAAAUCCAACAGACUCUCCAGACAGCUCUCAAAGGAAGAGGUCUCUAGAGUUCUAGGUUACUGGAAGGACGUUAGAAGAAAGUAAUGAAAUCAGAUAGGAUUAUUUUGUGGUAAUAAUAAUUCCAAUGGAUUUAACAGCAAGGAAUCACUUGGGAGCAUUGUUAAUAGCAUCUCAGUGUCUGGUUAACCACACAUGACACGGCAUAAAACAUAUUUCUCUAGCAAGUAGAAGAGUAUGACAGAGCAGUGAAAAGUGCCUUUUAACCUGAAGACCAACGUUCUAUACCCUCAAAACUAUGGUGCUGCUUGAUGUGGCCCAGCUAUGUUUUUAAGAUAACACCACAUUUUCCCAAAAUGAUCUUACAGUGGAGCCCCCUGAAGGGAAGGAAAGGGAUCUGGAGCCCCAUUUACUUUAUUUCCUUCAUGAAUGUCCAGAGGACAUCCUUGAAAUGAAGACUGCCACUGGGUGAGCCUAAUCAACUGGUUAAAAUAGCAAGAUACAAAAAAACCCAAAAACUCUUUGCGAGAUUGACAACUGAAAAGGAAAUUGUCCUUUUCACCUAAAUUUUCGAAUAUCUUGGCAUGAGAGCCCAAGUAGAGUGCAGAAUCACCCAGGUUCAGAUGAUUCUCGUGCCUCAGCCUCCGGAGUAGCUGGGAUUACAGGUAUGCUC